AAUGGGCAAAGGUGUACAUCAGAUAAUGAAUUUUGUGAAACAGAGCAGAAAACCAGGAAAUCGAAAAUCAGAGAAGAGGCAGAACUACCAGAAAAGGGAGUGUGUCCUGAAGAAAUUUUAAAAUUUUUACCAGAAGCAGAAAAUGGAACCACUGAAAAGCAAACUUUAGGCAAGUAAUUUUACGAGAGUUACUUGUCCUUAUUUUAUUUUUUUUAAUCUGCUACAUUCCUUUUGUAAUAAUGAUUGAUAACAAAUUAAUAUUUUAUUUAGACGAUGCGUUAGAUAUCGUUCCUGAUUCCCAGCAAGCAGGGAGAAGCAACAAACAUCUGUAAGUACUGAAAAAGAAUACCAAGUCACUGCUGGUUUGUGACUCAGUGACUAGUUCAUGAAAAGGUUCAUCUGUUGUUUUUAACUUUAUAAUUAAAGUCUGAUUAUUUUGAAAAUAGUGGUCAUUAACAAAAUCAGAGUAGUAGUUUAAUGUUCAAUGUUAAUAAGGAGAAUAAUUAUUUCAGAUUACAACAGAAAGUAAAGUAAAAAUGACACUGAGCUGUGCCAUAAAAGGUAGUAAACACAUUCUAAUUGUACCUCUGUAGGUGCAUCACAGUGUUAUCUUGUUCAGUUUUAGUGCUGGCCAUAGGAUACUGAAACUACCUCUUUGAAACUGCCUUUUUGUAUACAUAAUUUGUGAAGUUUUGUCAUUUUACAAAGCAUUUGAUUAAUUGAACAAUAGUAGCAGGCUUAUAUACCAGUGUAAAAUGCAUUGAUAAUCUAAAAGCUAGCUCCGUUUCCCUAUGUUGUGAUGCAUGUUUAUUGUAGUUCAGCCUCACUUCCUGCAAUUCACUGAUAACACAAUUGUUUCAUUUUUAUUAGACUGCCUGGUCAUUUGAAAAGUUCUUCUGAUAAAAAAGGAACGAGGAAAAAAAGAAUGUGUUCUGUCCCUGAGAAGAAUAUAGCAACUGGUGACAGACAAAAGCUAAAUCUGUCAUCAGAACAAGCAUCUCAUACAGCUCCUAUUCUUAGUGAAAGAGCUAUGAAACAUAAAGCUUUUUGUUCGGUUUUUGGAAGUGCUUCUCCAGAUAAACAAAUAAAUAAAAGAAAACAACAAAGAAAUGGAAUCACAAGGGAAGAAAACUGCAAAGUACUGAAUGGUGAGUUAAAGUGUAUUAAUAACUUGGAAGAGAAGCAGUUAAAUACAGAAUGGAAAAAUAUUUUAAUUACUACUGAAACAUUUAAAACAUGUCUUUCUGAUAAAGUGCCAGAAACAUCUUUGCAUUCUGAUUUUACAAAACGCAACAAUACUAAACAGGAAGCUGAUGUUCUCUCAAGAAAGGAGACUGCAGAUCAUGAAAAGUCAAAAAUGGUGAGAGUUUCUUUCCUUCAUUUUUUCAACUUGUAAUUGGGGGAAUUGUUGCACUGCCAGUAUUUCAAAAUUUAUUAUACUUUCAUUUACUCACAAACUUAUUUUACAUUGAUUUUUUUCAACUAAUACAGAGUGAAUUAAAUAAUGUCAGGUGAACAGUUUACUUUUUCAGCUUCACCUGUUUAAGAUCACCGUAGUCUGAAUAUAUCUUUUAAUUGUGCUUUUUAUUAAUAAUUCUUAAAUAUGGUCUGGCUUGUACUGCUCAUACACAUCUCAUCCAUCACUUCUAAAUAUUACAGUAUGUUAAAACAUUCAAAACAAAAUAUCUGCCAGACUCAUGUAAGGAAAGUGAUUUUCAGAGGAAUGUGAUUUAGUACAUCUAGAAAACUGUUUAAUUAGGUUUAGGUGAUUGUUAGGACCAGUAGCUGUUUCAGCCUUUUCUUUCUGCUGAAUGGGUUCAAAGUUGAGUAUUAAACUCUACUAUUUCAGAAAAUAAAAUCUAAAGAAAUCUCA
rnacentral:lncRNA from 1 species